rnacentral:rRNA from 1 species
GACGAACGCUGGCGGCGUGCUUAACACAUGCAAGUCGAACGAAGCUUGCUUACGUAUUCUUCGGAUGAAGUAUGAUAUGACUGAGUGGCGGACGGGUGAGUAACGCGUGAGUAGCCUGCCCUUCAGAGGGGGGUAGCGUUUUGAAACGAACGGUAAUACCGCAUAAUGUUUUUUGACCGCAUGAUCGAAAUACCAAAGAUUUAUCGCUGAAGGAAGGACUCGCGUCUGAUUAGGUAGGUGGGGGGGUAACGGCCUACCAAGGCGACGAUCAGUAGCCGGACUGGGAAGGAGACCCGCCACAUGGGGACUGAGACACGGGCCAGACUCCUACGGGGGGGAGGAGGGGGGGAAAAUGCACAAUGGGCGGAAGGCUUAUGCAGGAACGGCGCGGGAAGGAAGACGGUUUUCGGAGUGGAAAAUUCUGUUCUUAGUGAAGAAUAAUGACGGUAGCUAAGGAACAAGCCACGGCUAACUACGUG